CCCCUGGUGGUCUAAUGGUUAAGACUUGUGCUUCCAGUGCAGGGGGCCCGGGCUUGAACCCUGGUCAGGGAA
rnacentral:tRNA from 1 species